CAUCAUAGAAGAUGAGUUCAGAAAUUGACCGCUUUCCAACACGAAUUUCCUUCGACAAAAUUAAAUGUUGUUAGUAACAAAUCCUAUUUUAGAUCAGUCUUAUAGAUCGUCUGUCGUAGACGUUCGCAAAGUUUGGAAGGGAUUGCUAGGACGGAACAAAAUUUGGAUAGAAUUGACAGUUAACGGGAAGAUUGAGUCAAAAUGUUAAGACUCCCGGUAAUAAAACUACCAACAGGAUUACAAAAUGGUAGACUUUUUGCUAUGGGAUUACAUACAACAUCCUGUAAAUUACAACAAGAAUUAGUAGAGGUAUUUAUAGAUGAUAAGCCAGUUCAGGUUCCACCUGGGACAACUGUUUUGCAGGCAGCUGCUAAAGUAGGAGUAGAGAUUCCCAGAUUUUGUUAUCAUGAACGUCUAGCAGUAGCAGGAAAUUGCAGAAUGUGUCUUGUGGAAAUUGAAAAACAAGUUAAGCCUGUUGCAGCUUGUGCAAUGCCUGUGAUGAAAGGAUGGAGAGUAAAAACAAAUUCUGAUUUAACACGUAAAGCUCGUGAAGGAGUUAUGGAAUUUUUAUUAGUUAAUCAUCCUUUAGAUUGUCCAAUUUGUGAUCAAGGUGGUGAAUGUGAUUUACAAGAUCAAAGUAUGGCAUUUGGUAGUGAUAGGAGCAGAUUCAUUGAUAUUAAUUAUAGCGGUAAAAGAGCAGUAGAGGACAAGGAUAUUGGACCUCUAAUAAAAACAGUUAUGACACGUUGCAUCCACUGUACAAGAUGUAUUCGUUUUGCCUCCGAAGUAGCGGGAAUCGAUGAUCUAGGAACUACUGGUCGUGGAAAUGACAUGCAAGUGGGAACAUAUGUAGAGAAGAUGUUUCUCUCAGAAUUAUCUGGUAACAUAAUUGACUUGUGUCCUGUUGGUGCAUUAACCAGUAAACCAUAUGCUUUCGUUGCUCGCCCAUGGGAAACACGUCGUACAGAUAGUAUUGAUGUUCUUGAUGCUAUUGGUAGUAAUAUAGUAGUAACGCAUAGAACGGGUGAAGUUUUAAGAAUUUUACCAAGAGUAAACGAGGAAAUAAAUGAAGAAUGGCUGUCAGAUAAAGCUCGUUUCUCUUAUGAUGGAUUGAAACGUCAGAGACUCAUAACUCCAAUGAUGAAAAUCAAUGGAAAAUUGGAAGCUGUUAAUUGGGAAGAUGCUCUCGUAACGGUUGCUCAAGCUGUUCAGGACGUACCGUUGAAUAAAUGUUCCGCGAUUGCUGGGAAAUUAGCUGAUGCUGAAGCUCUUGUGGCAUUGAAAGAUUUAGUAAAUAGACUUGGUGGUGAAAUUCUUGCAACGGAACAAAGUCUUCCGAAAAACAUUGUAGAUAUAAGAACUAAUUAUUUAUUAAAUAAUUCCAUUGCUGCUAUAGAAGAGGCUGAUGUCGUAUUAUUGAUCGGUACAAAUCCAAGAUACGAAGCACCAUUGGUGAAUACGCGUUUACGGAAAGGAUAUAUUCAUGGUGAACAGACUAUUGCUCUAAUUGGUCCGGACGUAGAUCUAACAUAUGAUCAUGAACAUUUAGGUCAGUCUCCAGAAAUUAUAACACAAUUAAGGAAUGGUACUCAUGCGUUUUCGAAUAUUCUGAAAAGUGCUAAGAAACCUCUAAUUAUCUUGGGCAUCGAGCAAUUAACCAGAAAAGAUGGGGCAAAAAUUUUGUGUGAAACACAAUUAUUGGCACAGUCUUUAGAAGAUAAAUCGAAGACUUCUGAAGGAUGGAACGUAUUAAAUGUACUUCACACGAAUGCGUCGCAAGUAGCUGCUUUGGAUUUGGGUUACUCGUCAUCCGUUGACGAAGUUAAACAACAACAGCCAAAAGUUUUAUUUUUACUUGGAGCUGACGAUGCAAAUAUAAAAAAAGAAGACUUUCCCAACACCGUUAUUGUAUACAUAGGUAGUCACGGUGAUGAGGGAGCUGCGAUGGCCGAUGUUAUACUUCCUGGAGCUGCGUACACCGAAAAAGUUGCAACAUACGUAAACACUGAAGGACGUCCUCAACAAACUUGUGCUGCAAAUACACCGCCAGGUAUGGCGCGUCCAGAUUGGAAGAUUAUACGAGCUCUUUCAGAAAUAUGUGGAAUUUGUUUACCUUAUGACACUUUGAACGAAGUAAGGUCCAGGCUGGAGGAAAUAGCACCACAUUUAAUUAGGUAUGGUAGCAUAGAACCGACCAAUUAUUCUGUCGAAGCAUUGGAGUUAUUAAAGGAAACGAAUGGCUCGUUGUCAUCGAAUCCAUUAGAAAUUAAACAGAAAACGUUAGAUCAAUUUUUUAUGACGGACGUAAUAUCUCGAGCCUCACUUACUAUGGCAAAAUGUGUGCAAGCAGUUUUGAAACAACGGGAAAGUUCUUUGUAAAAAAAAUUAAUCACCAACGUAUGAGAUACUGUGCUAUGGUAGAUACAUAAUAGGAUAUGAGAAUGCAUCGCAACUAUACUGCUUUAAUUACAGUGUGUUUCAGUUACCUAGGAGGACUACUUGGGGCCAUUACUCCUGCUAGGAAUUCUUGAUUGCUAGCAUUUCCUCUAAUAACUUCAGCUACCGUAUUAAUCGUUUCUGUGAGCACAUCAGCAGGUACACCACUAGCCAUUAAUAUGUUGCACAAAGCUUGUAAAAGUCCACAAGCUCUCAUGAUUUCUUGACAAUUUGCGACUGCCUUUAUAUACGUGUUACGGAUAAAAAUCAGUAUCAAAAACGAAAGGAAUGCAAAUGAGUAUAGAAUGUUUUCAUUUACCUGAGCAGGUCCACUAGGUGCUACUAAUGCUCGAAUCACUUGUACCAUACAGUGAACAUUUGACACUUUUUGUGGACUCCAUGCACCAAGAGGAUUGUCAUCAAUUUCAGAUGGUAUUUGAAACAUUGGAGUUAAUUUCUGAAUUAACACGUUACCUUCAUAAAAAAAAUUUUGAUUACUUAUGUUACCCCGUAAAAGAUUCAACAUAAGUAACAGGCAAUCUUCAACGACGAUACCACCUUCCGCAUUACCUUCCUGAGCAAUUACAUCGAAAAUGCGAUCAAAUGCAUUUUCAAAUGCAACAAUUUUUUGAAUGUUUGCAUUGCCUUUGGUUAAUUGGAUAAGAAGUAAUAAGGCCUGUAACAAUAAUAAAUAAUACUUUCUAUCCAGUAAAGGUAUACUGUAAACUCAUGAAAACAUCAUGGGAAAAAAAGAACAGAUGAAAAAACUCAUACAUCAUUACGUAUGACUUCUCUACUAUCACUGAGGAGAUCCAUCAGUUUAGAAACACCCAUGGGGCUAACUAAAAUUAUUUCUUGUAUAUCCUUUAGCCUGUUAGCUGACAAAUGUGCUAAUAAUUUCAAAGCUGGCCAUCUAACUUUGAAUUCAAAUUCUUCCAAGAGUGCUAAGACUAAUCCUACGCUAUCUGUGUUUUUAAUAAAUAUCUCUGUGAAUUGUU